UACGUAGGGGGCUAGCGUUAUCCGGAAUUACUGGGCGUAAAGGGUGCGUAGGUGGUUUCUUAAGUCAGAAGUGAAAGGCUACGGCUCAACCGUAGUAAGCCUUUGAAACUGGGGAACUUGAGUGCAGGAGAGGAGAGUGGAAUUCCUAGUGUAGCGGUGAAAUGCGUAGAUAUUAGGAGGAACACCAGUUGCGAAGGCGGCUCUCUGGACUGUAACUGACACUGAGGCACGGAAGCGUGGGGAGCAAACAGG
rnacentral:rRNA from 1 species